rnacentral:rRNA from 1 species
AACGUAGGUGGCAAGCGUUAUCCGGAAUUACUGGGCGUAAAGGGUGUGCAGGCGGGGUUGCAAGUGGGGUCUGAAAUAUCCCAGCUUAACUGGGAGGGGUUAUGCCAGACUGCAACUCUAGAGGACGAGAGAGGGGGGUGGAAUUCCGGGUGUAGUGGUGAAAUGCGUAGAGAUCCGGAGGAACCCCAGAGGCGAAGGCGGCCCCCUGGCUCGUACCUGACGCUCAGCCACGAAAGCAUGGGGAGCGAACGGG